UACGUAGGUGGCAAGCGUUGUCCGGAUUUACUGGGCGUAAAGAGCGCGCAGGCGGUCGUUCAAGUCGCGUGUGAAAGCCCCCGGCUCAACUGGGGAGGGUCACGCGAUACUGAUCGACUCGAAGGCAGGAGAGGGUAGUGGAAUUCCCGGUGUAGUGGUGAAAUGCGCAGAUAUCAGGAGGAACACCAGUGGCGAAGGCGGUGCUCUGGGCCGGAACUGACGCUGAUGAGCGAAAGCGUGGGGAGCAAACAGG
rnacentral:rRNA from 1 species